GCAUUAUAAAGAUUUAAAAAUAAAUAAAAAACAGUAAAAGGAAAGAAAAAUCUGACCUUUGUCUUAGGCAAAAUUAUAAGGUAUAGUCUUGUGGCUUUUAAAGUGAAAAAGCAUUUGAAACACAUGAUAGUAGAAAUGAGCUAAAUUUACUAUGAGGGCAGUUAUGGGAAAACAAUUGAAUCAUUCUGGAGGGAUGGUAAUAACUUUUUGUAUUUCUUGGGAUACAAAUUCAGUGAAAUGACUCGCUGGAAACAGUAUGAGCCGGCUACUCAUGCUGAUCGAUGACUGCAUUGGUGCUUGAACAUUUAAUGAGUAACCAGACACACGCAGUCUACUAACAGAAUUAAAGUACUACAUGAAAAUUUCAAGAUACCGUCAUUGAAUCUGUAAGAAAAUGUGAACUUUGGAACAGUUUUUUUCUUUCCAAGCAGUGAUCUCAUAAGCACCAACGAGAUUCAGAUUUUAAAUAGGACUGGACUCUGCAAUGGAGAGGCUAAACUAUUAAAGGAAGCAGGAGAACUGGACCAAAGCAUUGGACCUCAAACUGAACGUGACAAUGAGCAAGUGAAUACCAAUUCUAGGAAACUGAUUUUAGAAUACAUAUUGAACUCAAAUAUAUAUUGGACUGUAACAGAAUAAUACAAACAGGAGCUGCACUAUUGUUGCAAAAAGACAAAAAUACAUGUAUUUUGUAGAUGUUGGGCAUGCAGGUAUAUUUAAAAAAUGUGUGAAGAAUAUUUAGAUUUUUGGCUAUUCAGUAGUACUAAGUAACUUUUAGUAUGUUAUUAAAGAUGGACCAUUUCUAAGCAA